GGGUUGUGAGGUUAAGCGACUAAGCGUACACGGUGGAUGCCCUGGCAGUCAGAGGCGAUGAAGGACGUGCUAAUCUGCGAAAAGCGUCGGUAAGGUGAUAUGAACCGUUAUAACCGGCGAUGUCCGAAUGGGGAAACCCAGUGUGAUUCGUCACACUAUCGUUAACUGAAUACAUAGGUUAACGAGGCGAACCGGGGGAACUGAAACAUCUAAGUACCCCGAGGAAAAGAAAUCAACCGAGAUUCCCCCAGUAGCGGCGAGCGAACGGGGAGCAGCCCAGAGUCUGAAUCAGCUUGUGUGUUAGUGGAACGGUCUGGAAAGUCCGACGGUACAGGGUGAUAGUCCCGUACACCAAAAUGCACAGGUUGUGAACUCGAAGAGUAGGGCGGGACACGUGGUAUCCUGUCUGAAUAUGGGGGGACCAUCCUCCAAGGCUAAAUACUCCUGACUGACCGAUAGUGAACCAGUACCGUGAGGGAAAGGCGAAAAGAACCCCGGCGAGGGGAGUGAAAAAGAACCUGAAACCGUGUACGUACAAGCAGUGGGAGCACCUUCGGGUGUGACUGCGUACCUUUUGUAUAAUGGGUCAGCGACUUAUAUUCUGUAGCAAGGUUAACCGUAUAGGGGAGCCGCAGGGAAACCGAGUCUUAACUGGGCGUUAAGUUGCAGGGUAUAGACCCGAAACCAGGUGAUCUAGCCAUGGGCAGGUUGAAGGUUGGGUAACACUAACUGGAGGACCGAACCGACUAAUGUUGAAAAAUUAGCGGAUGACUUGUGGCUGGGGGUGAAAGGCCAAUCAAACCGGGAGAUAGCUGGUUCUCCCCGAAAGCUAUUUAGGUAGCGCCUCGUGAACUCAUCUUCGGGGGUAGAGCACUGUUUCGGCUAGGGGGUCAUCCCGACUUACCAACCCGAUGCAAACUACGAAUACCGAAGAAUGUUAUCACGGGAGACACACGGCGGGUGCUAACGUCCGUCGUGAAGAGGGAAACAACCCAGACCGCCAGCUAAGGUCCCAAAGUCAUGGUUAAGUGGGAAACGAUGUGGGAAGGCACAGACAGCCAGGAUGUUGGCUUAGAAGCAGCCAUCAUUUAAAGAAAGCGUAAUAGCUCACUGGUCGAGUCGGCCUGCGCGGAAGAUGUAACGGGGCUAAACCAUGCACCGAAGCUGCGGCAGCGACACUAUGUGUUGUUGGGUAGGGGAGCGUUCUGUAAGCCUGCGAAGGUGACCUGUGAGGGUUGCUGGAGGUAUCAGAAGUGCGAAUGCUGACAUAAGUAACGAUAAAGCGGGUGAAAAGCCCGCUCGCCGGAAGACCAAGGGUUCCUGUCCAACGUUAAUCGGGGCAGGGUGAGUCGACCCCUAAGGCGAGGCCGAAAGGCGUAGUCGAUGGGAAACAGGUUAAUAUUCCUGUACUUGGUGUUACUGCGAAGGGGGGACGGAGAAGGCUAUGUUAGCCGGGCGACGGUUGUCCCGGUUUAAGCAUGUAGGCUGGUUAUCCAGGCAAAUCCGGAUAAUCAAGGCUGAGGUGUGAUGACGAGGCACUACGGUGCUGAAGUAACAAAUGCCCUGCUUCCAGGAAAAGCCUCUAAGCAUCAGGUAACAUCAAAUCGUACCCCAAACCGACACAGGUGGUCAGGUAGAGAAUACCAAGGCGCUUGAGAGAACUCGGGUGAAGGAACUAGGCAAAAUGGUGCCGUAACUUCGGGAGAAGGCACGCUGGUGUGUAGGUGAAGCCCCUGCGGGUGGAGCUGAGACCAGUCGAAGAUACCAGCUGGCUGCAACUGUUUAUUAAAAACACAGCACUGUGCAAACACGAAAGUGGACGUAUACGGUGUGACGCCUGCCCGGUGCCGGAAGGUUAAUUGAUGGGGUUAUCCGUAAGGAGAAGCUCUUGAUCGAAGCCCCGGUAAACGGCGGCCGUAACUAUAACGGUCCUAAGGUAGCGAAAUUCCUUGUCGGGUAAGUUCCGACCUGCACGAAUGGCGUAAUGAUGGCCAGGCUGUCUCCACCCGAGACUCAGUGAAAUUGAACUCGCUGUGAAGAUGCAGUGUACCCGCGGCAAGACGGAAAGACCCCGUGAACCUUUACUAUAGCUUGACACUGAACAUUGAGCCUUGAUGUGUAGGAUAGGUGGGAGGCUUUGAAGCGUGGACGCCAGUCUGCGUGGAGCCAACCUUGAAAUACCACCCUUUAAUGUUUGAUGUUCUAACGUUGGCCCCUUACCGGGGUUGCGGACAGUGUCUGGUGGGUAGUUUGACUGGGGCGGUCUCCUCCCAAAGCGUAACGGAGGAGCACGAAGGUUAGCUAAUCCUGGUCGGACAUCAGGAGGUUAGUGCAAUGGCAUAAGCUAGCUUGACUGCGAGCGUGACGGCGCGAGCAGGUGCGAAAGCAGGUCAUAGUGAUCCGGUGGUUCUGAAUGGAAGGGCCAUCGCUCAACGGAUAAAAGGUACUCCGGGGAUAACAGGCUGAUACCGCCCAAGAGUUCAUAUCGACGGCGGUGUUUGGCACCUCGAUGUCGGCUCAUCACAUCCUGGGGCUGAAGUAGGUCCCAAGGGUAUGGCUGUUCGCCAUUUAAAGUGGUACGCGAGCUGGGUUUAGAACGUCGUGAGACAGUUCGGUCCCUAUCUGCCGUGGGCGCUGGAGAAUUGAGGGGGGCUGCUCCUAGUACGAGAGGACCGGAGUGGACGCAUCACUGGUGUUCGGGUUGUCAUGCCAAUGGCACUGCCCGGUAGCUAAAUGCGGAAGAGAUAAGUGCUGAAAGCAUCUAAGCACGAAACUUGCCCCGAGAUGAGUUCUCCCUGAGACUUUAAGUCUCCUGAAGGAACGUUGAAGACGACGACGUUGAUAGGCCGGGUGUGUAAGCGCAGCGAUGCGUUGAGCUAACCGGUACUAAUGAACCGUGAGGCUUAACCUUACAACGCCGAAG
rnacentral:rRNA from 1 species